rnacentral:rRNA from 1 species
AGUGAACGCUGGCGGCGUGCUUAACACAUGCAAGUCGAACGAGAACGGAUUAUAGCUUGCUAUAAUUGUUAGCUAAGUGGCGCACGGGUGAGUAAUGUAUAGGUAAUAUGCCUUUUACUAAGGAAUAACAAAUGGAAACGUUUGCUAAUACCUUAUACUCCUUAUUAACCUAAGUUAAUAAGGGAAAGAUUUAUUGGUAAGAGAUUAGCCUGUAUUGUAUCAGUUAGUUGGUGGGGUAAUGGCUUACCAAGGCUAUGACACAUAACUGGUUUGAGAGGAUGAUCAGUCACACUGGAACUGAGACACGGUCCAGACUCCUACGGGAGGCAGCAGUGGGGAAUAUUGCACAAUGGACGGAAGUCUGAUGCAGCAACGCCGCGUGGAGGAUGACACAUUUCGGUGCGUAAACUCCUUUUAUAUGAGAAGAUAAUGACGGUAUUAUAUGAAUAAGCACCGGCUAACUCCGUGCCAGCCGCCGCAGUAA